CUGUCGUCAGCUCGUGUUGUGAAAUGUUGGGUUAAGUCCCGCAACGAGCGCAACCCUUAUCCUUGUUUGCCAGCGAGUAAUGUCGGGAACUCCAGGGAGACUGCCGGUGAUAAACCGGAGGAAGGUGGGGACGACGUCAAGUCAUCAUGGCCCUUACGAGUAGGGCUACACACGUGCUACAAUGGCGCAUACAGAGGGCGGCCAACUUGCGAAAGUGAGCGAAUCCCAAAAAGUGCGUCGUAGUCCGGAUUGGAGUCUGCAACUCGACUCCAUGAAGUCGGAAUCGCUAGUAAUCGUGGAUCAGAAUGCCACGGUGAAUACGUUCCCGGGCCUUGUACACACCGCCCGUCACACCAUGGGAGUGGGCUGCAAAAGAAGUGGGUAGUUUAACCUUCGGGAGGACGCUCACCACUUUGUGGUUCAUGACUGGGGUGAAGUCGUAACAAGGUAGCGCUAGGGGAACCUGGCGCUGGAUCACCUCCUUA
rnacentral:rRNA from 1 species